CCUACGGGUGGCAGCAGUGAGGAAUAUUGGUCAAUGGACGAGAGUCUGAACCAGCCAAGUAGCGUGAAGGAUGACUGCCCUAUGGGUUGUAAACUUCUUUUAUAUGGGAAUAAAACGUUCCACGUGUGGGAUUUUGUAUGUACCAUAUGAAUAAGGAUCGGCUAACUCCGUGCCAGCAGCCGCGGUAAUACGGAGGAUCCGAGCGUUAUCCGGAUUUAUUGGGUUUAAAGGGAGCGUAGGUGGAUUGUUAAGUCAGUUGUGAAAGUUUGCGGCUUAACCGUAAAAUUGCAGUUGAAACUGGCAGUCUUGAGUACAGUAGAGGUGGGCGGAAUUCGUGGUGUAGCGGUGAAAUGCGUAGAUAUCACGAAGAACUCCGAUUGCGAAGGCAGUUCACUGGACUGCAACUGACACUGAGGCUCGAAAGUGUGGGUAUCAAACAGGAUUAGAUACCCCUGUAGUC
rnacentral:rRNA from 1 species